rnacentral:lncRNA from 1 species
CUUAAUUUCAGCCCAUUGGCUUAAUCAAAUUAAGCUAAUUAGCAAUCGAAUUGCUAAUCGAUCCUCCUGCAACACUUGCACUGGGCUAAAUGUCAAUCGUAUUGAUCAUUUAACCCUAGAACGAUUCUUAAUCGUUGAUCAACCAUCCGAUCGGAUCAUGAACUCUAAUGUGUGUGACCUUAUAGGUCCGACCCUAAGCCGGUAGCAUAGGAAUAAAUUUUUGUACCAAUCGAAGUGACCAUCUAGCAAUGGUACCCGACGAUCGGAUAGGUCGAAUGUGUAGAACAACAUCCUUAGAAUCCAUGCGGAUAUAGUUUUCAUAUAAUUCAUCCCCUUGACCAAAAUGAUCAUAGGAUACCCCAGAGUUCCACUGUCAACUCUGAUCAGGUUGUCCACAUUGUAUUUCAAAAUAUCAAAUCCAUCUGAUGGAUUACCCUGGCCAAGGUUUUGCUAAAUUGAAAUACAGCGACUCAUUCUUCUCCAACUCUUGGAGUGGUCAAUCCCAGCU